AUCGAAUAUCCACGUUAANUUUUACUUUAUUUAAAAACUUAUAUACCGCCAUCUUAAGAUUAAAUUUUAAAAUACUUUCAAAAAAAAAUAUUAAAAAGUUAGGUCAAGGUGUAAUUCACAUUAAAGAAUUAGAUAAAUUACAUUAAAUAUAAUUUAAAGAUUAUAAAUAAACAUAAUUAUAUAAAUUAGGAUUUGAAAGUAUUAUUAAAAUAAUAAUAUAAUAUGACAUAGAUAAUAAAUGUGUACACAUCGCCC
rnacentral:rRNA from 1 species